rnacentral:rRNA from 1 species
CUUGAACGCUGGCGGCAGGCCUAACACAUGCAAGUCGAGCGGAGCGGCGGACGGGUGAGUAAUGCCUAGGAAUCUGCCUGGUAGUGGGGGAUAACGUCCGGAAACGGGCGCUAAUACCGCAUACUAUCAGAUGAGCCUAGGUCGGAUGAGCUAGUUGGUGGGGUAAAGGCCUACCAAGGCGACGAUCCGUAACUGGUCUGAUAGGAUGAUCAGUCAAACUGGAAAGACGACACGUUCCAUACUCCUACGGGAGGACGCAGUGGGGAAUAUUCGACAAUGGGCGAAAGCCUUAUCCAGCCAUGCCGCGUGUUUGAAGAAGGUCUUCGGAUUCUAAAGCACUUUAAGUUGGGAAGCGUUACCAACAGAAUAAGCACCGGCUAACUUCGUGCCAGCAGCCGCGGUAAUUC